CCUUGUUCGUUCCGUGCGUUCGGCGUAUUCAGAACGAUCAAUUUCGCAAUACGUCACUCGACUGGAUAUAUCGUUGGACAUCAAAGUCAUUGUUGACAUGAAGUGGAUGAGAGAUGAGGAUUUGGCAAAUGUGAUGAUUCAUCGUAAACACAUUGGUGCAUCUAGCUGUUUGGUAAAAUUUUAGUAGAUUCGCAAAUAUUGAAAUCCGGUUGAAUUAGAAGCAGAAAUUGCUGAAAAUAUAGAAAGGGUAAAUUUAAUGAAUGUAAAAUAAAAUGAAUACUUACCUUACUGAAUAUUGUAGGGAAUCUAAGUGAGGUGCGAUCUCAGCGCGAUUAGUGGGAGUAACACUCGAUCGAUUGUCGUAUGAUUACGUAAGUAAGGGUUAUAUCGAAGUAUGAUAAACGUUGAGCUGGACUGUUUAAUUUAUAUAGGCCCGUAGAAGAAAUCAUCGCGCUGAAAUUCGUGUUCGGAUUGGUAGAACGAAAAUCAAUAAUUUGUAUGUUUAAGGCUAGUGAAAUUAAGACCCUGAACUAAUUAUACUGUUUUACAGUUUGAGCUGUCUGCAAGGAGAUUGCUGCAAAAAUCUGAUUUCGUGUAUUCCGAACAAACUCAAAAAAUUAUUGUCGAGUAAGACGUGGAAACUCCAACAUAAUGGACAAGGAAGCGGGCCCUUCGUCGAAGCCAGCCUUGAACGUCACCGUAUGCCUGGGAUGUGCCGCAGGAUGCAACCAGUCGGAUUCCGUGGAAGACAUGGUCCAGUGUGACACUUGCGAGUCGUGGUGGCAUUAUACGUGUGCGAAAGUCGACGAAACGGUUAAGGAUAGAAGCUGGAAUUGCGUCAAGUGUCCUCCCAGGAAACCUACCUCACGAUCUGGUAAGUCGUCCAAAUCAAAGGCUUCGGCGAGUUCAUCAUCAAGCAUCCGAAGGGCGCAGUUGCAGUUAGAGUUAGAGCGUCUAGAAAAGGAGAAACAGCUUGCUGACAAACUGCAUCAGGAAAGAGAAGAAGAAGAAGAGAAAGCUAGGGUAGAAGAAGCUGUACGUAGAGAAAAGCGUUUUGCGGAAAAAAAGGCUAGAGAAGAGGAGUUGUUGCAGAAACGUUUCGCACUUUUGCAAACCAUGGUAGGACUUGACGACGAUAAUAGUGAGGAUAGGAGUGUAGGUAGUCGAAGCAGCAUACGUUCUAGUAAAAGCAAAGUUGAGAAUUGGAUGCAUCGGCAUAUGCAGGGAAAGAGCUCUGGAUUAGGUAAACUUCUUGGCCAAUCAGAGGUUCCGCCGGGCAACGCGACGUAUUCUGAUGAUCAAGCAGCUAAGACCGAAGGUAUGGGAACGGUUCCGAAAACUCAACCUGUCAAUGUCAAUGUCUCGUGUGAAGGAGCUGCCACGUCGUGUGAAGUGCGAAACAAAAGUGUAAAACAGCAGGUGGGUGGUAAUUUGGCAAUGGUUCCGUAUCCCAUGAGAUCUCAUUUGGAUUUCGUGGGAGGACUGGCUGGCUUCUAUAGUAAUCCUCCUGACGUUGGCGAAAUACCUGGAGCUGUAGAGGCAACCACUCAACAAAACGUAGAGGGGCCAUUACAUGGUAGAAGAGGCGAUUCCAUUGCAGAUCCAAGAAUUGCAGCUACUCCGUUGGGAAGUAAUCCAAUCAACAGUACACCGUUAUCAGGAAGAUUGUCAACGGGGCCUACGGCUCAACAGAUGGCGGCGAGACACGUGGUUCCGAAAGAUUUGCCAAUAUUUUCUGGAGACCCGGCAGAGUGGCCACUCUUCAUCAGCGCCUACAGGAAUUCCACGGACUUGUGCGGUUUUAGUGAUGGAGAGAACCUGAUGCGUCUACAGCGUUGCCUAAAAGGAGAAGCUUUGGAUGCGGUACGAUGUUCGUUGCUAUUGCCGGCGGCAGUUCCAUUUGUUAUAUCAACGUUGACUACUUUGUAUGGGCGGCCGGAGUUGAUCGUUCACAAUCUCCUUUCCAAAGUACGAGCGCUCCCACCGCCAAAGGCCGAUAAAUUAGAAACACUCGUCAGCUACGGAUUAUCGGUCCAGAACUUAUGUGGUCACCUACGUGCUUCAGGAUUAGACCACCAUCUGAACAACCCUAGCCUGCUGCAAGAGUUGGUGGAUAAGCUUCCUGCUUCGAUUAAGCUUGACUGGGCGCUAUAUAAGCGCUAUUUGCCGGAAGUAGACUUGGGACGUUUCGGAGAUUAUAUGGCAUCGAUGGUAGCAGCUGCAAGUGAUGUUAUAAUCCCGGUACCUCAUGAAACAUCGAAGACAGAGCGGCCGAAGACUAAAAGUUUUGUCAAUGCUCAUAGAGAAGACGAUAACUUUGAAGAGUACAAAGCAAAGCAUAAUAUCGGUAGCGGGAACCAGAAGAAUGACAGUGAUGGAACGCGGUGUCUGCUGUGUGAUAAACCCGGGCACAAGAUAAAGGAUUGUAGUGAAUGGAAAAAGCGAGCAUUAUCUGAGCGUUGGGAAAUUGCAGAACGACACAAUCUCUGCAAACGAUGUUUGAUACCGCAUGGAAGAUGGCCCUGUAAAGUGAAGCAAGACUGCGGAGUUGGUGAGUGCAGAGAUCGUCAUCACAGUGUUCUACAUCCUGGGAAACCAACGGAUACACCUGCCUCAUCAUCUCUCGUGCCUUCCGGACUCGUAGGAGCGCAUGGCCAUGAGCUUGGUGGAGUAUUGUUCAAGAUAGUUCCGGUAGUACUACACGGAGAACGGGGAUCGGUUAAAACCUUUGCUUUCCUCGACAGCGGCUCUUCGCUAACGAUGGUUGACGAGGAAUUAGCAGAGCAAAUCGGCGUAAGUGGCGAGACGAAACGUUUGUGCCUCAAAUGGACAUCAAAUGUAUCCAGAGAAGAGUCAAGAUCGCAGCGUAUUACGAUGGAUGUUUCUGGCAUUGAUGGAAUAAAUCGCUACAAAAUAUCUAAUGUUUGUACCGUCGCUAAACUUGAUCUACCAGAGCAAACGUUGAACUAUGCAGAUCUAGUAGCAGAAUUCCCCUAUCUCGAUGGGUUGCCAGUCAAAAGUUAUGUUAAGGCAGUUCCAAGAAUCCUCAUUGGGCUAGAGCAUACUCAUUUGAAGGUUACACUGCGGAAACGAGAAGGUCGAGUAGGUGAACCAGUUGCGGCUAAAACAAGAUUGGGCUGGACCAUAUUCGGACGGUUUGGAGUUGUUUCUGGAGCACAAACUUCUUUGCACAUUCGAGAGGAAACUCGCGAUCAAGACCUGCAUGACCUCGUAAAAUCCUUUUUUGAAGUAGAGUCGCUGGGAGUAGAUGUUAAACACACACUAGUGUCAGAAGAAAACCAGCGAGCAGUGCAGAUUCUCCGAGAAACUACGGUGCGAACGACAAGCGGAAGAUUUGAAACAGGACUCUUGUGGAAGAAGGAUAUGUUAGAAUUCCCUGAUAGUUAUGGAAUGGCAGUUCGACGGCUAAAAUCAUUGGAGAGGAAGUUACGAAACAAACCGGAGCUGGAAGCAAACGUGAAUCAGCAAAUUCACGACUAUUUGCAGAAAGGGUACGCGCAUAAAGUGUCGGAAGAGGAGCUAAAAACGCUGGAUCCAAAACGGUCAUGGUUCUUACCACUUGGUGUCGUGCUGAAUCCGAAAAAGCCUGGUAAAAUAAGAUUAAUUUGGGAUGCUGCGGCAGAAGUGAAAGGCGUAUCGUUCAACUCUGUACUUCUAAAAGGGCCCGAUUUAUUAACAUCUUUAGUGGCAGUUUUAAGCCGGUUUCGACAACGGCAAGUGGCGAUAACUGGAGAUAUAAGGGAGAUGUUCCAUCAAAUCCAAAUACGUCAAGCGGAUAGAUCAGCACAAUUAUUUCUCUUCAGAGGAACAAGCGACAAGAUAGGAGUGUACAUGAUGGACGUAGCUACGUUCGGUUCCACGUGCUCUCCCUGUGCUGCUCAGUACGUGAAAAAUUUGAAUGCGAAGCAAUGUGAGAGGGAGUUUCCGGAGGCAGCAGCGGCGAUCGUCGAAAAUCAUUAUGUGGAUGAUUAUCUCGAUAGCAGGGACACAGAGGAUGAAGCAGCAGAGAUAGCAUUGGAAGUACAGAAGGUGCAUGCAAAGGCAGGUUUUGAUAUACGAAAUUGGAUGUCGAAUUCUCAAACUGUUUUGGAACGGGUCGGGGAGCCAAACCCAGCGGAUGUUAAAUCGUUCGCAAUGGACAAAUCUGGAGUUGCAGAACGUGUUUUGGGACUGGUAUGGCUACCUUGGUUGGACGUAUUCACGUUUAACAUGGACUUUCGGGAGGAUCUGAAGCCGCUAGUUUUCGAGGGAGUAAUUCCCACCAAGCGGCAAGUAUUGCAAGUGGUGAUGAGUUUAUACGACCCUCUUGGAAUGAUAUCCACUUUCUUGAUUCAUGGCAAAAUCUUCAUUCAGAGUCUCUGGAGAGCGGGUAUUGACUGGGAUGAGCUCAUACCUGAGGCUCUCGUUGCAGAAUGGAAACAGUGGAUUGGUCUGAUGGCAGCUCUUCAAGAUAUUCGCAUACCACGCUGCUAUUUUGCUGGAUAUUCCACAGGCAGUUUCGAUUCAUUAGAGCUUCACGUAUUUGUCGACGGUAGCGAAAGUGCCUACUGCUGUGUGGCCUACUUCCGUAUCAUAGACAGAGGUCAACCUCGCUGUGCGUUGGUUGCGUCUAAAACCAAAGUAGCCCCGCUGAAGUUUUUAUCAAUUCCGCGAAUGGAGCUACAAGCAGCCCUCAUUGGGGUGCGUCUGGCUAGAUCUGUUGAAGAAAAUCAUACCCUACGCGUAACUCGCCGUUAUUUCUGGAGCGACUCCUGCACUGUAUUAGCCUGGCUCAGAUCAGAUUCUCGUCGUUACCGGCAAUUUGUGGCAUACCGAGUUGGAGAGAUACUGACCAAAUCUCAAGUCAACGAAUGGAAUUACGUGCCAUCAGGACUGAACGUCGCAGACGACGGCACGAAGUGGAAAACAGGAAUGUCGUUCAAGCCAGACAGCCGUUGGUACUCUGGCCCUGAAUUUCUCCACAAAAGAAAGGAUUCGUGGCCGGAGAUGGAGCGCUCACUAUUAUCAACGAGUGAAGAACUAAGACAACCAGUACUACACCACGUGGAAUCACAAUCUUCGUGGAUACAAGUCGAACGUUUUUCGCGUUGGGAACGACUUCAACGAUCUACAGCAUACGUUCAUCGAUUUUUGAAUCGUAUGAAGUCAUCCAGCGUGGAAGGAGAAAUGUUGACGAGGGACGAACUACAGCAGGCAGAAAGAUCUUUGUGGCGGUUGGCUCAAUUCGAAACUUAUUCCGAAGAGUUACAGAUCCUUGAAAUCAACAAAAACCUGGAUCAUGGACAUGGAAGAGCCAUCGAUCGCUGUAGUCCUUUGUUAAAAUUAUCCCCGUUUGUAGAUGAGCAUGAAGUUAUCCGAAUGGAGACAAGGUCACUAAACGCUGCCUAUGCUCCAUGCAGCGUGGUCAUUCUACCACGUCACCAUCGUGUAACCUACCUAAUAGUAGAUUGGUUUCACAGAGAACACGGCCAUGCAAACAAUGAAACUGUAGUGAACGAGAUGCGGCAGAUAUUCCACGUAUCACAGUUGCGUGUACUAGUUAAACAGGUAGCGAAGGGGUGCCAGCAUUGUAUAGUCAGGAAAGCCAGACCCCAGAUACCGAGGAUGGGGCCACUUCCAAAUGUAAGAAUUACACCGUACGUGCGUCCGUUCACGUACACUGGCGUGGACUAUUGUGGCCCAUUUCUGGUGAAAGUGGGUCGAAGCUUGGUGAAACGAUGGAUUGCCCUUUUUACCUGCAUGACCGUAAGGGCGAUUCAUCUAGAAAUCGCUAAUAGUCUGUCAACCGAAUCGUUCAAAAUGGCAGUGAGGCGUUUCAUUGCUCGGCGAGGUGCUCCGUUGGAAAUUUUUAGCGACAAUGGAACCAAUUUUCGUGGCGCAAGUAACGAGCUGAGAGAGGAAAUGAAGAUGAUCAACUACGACUUGGCAUCUACCUUCACCAACACCACUACGAAGUGGAAUUUCAAUCCGCCGUUAGCUCCUCACAUGGGAGGCUGUUGGGAGCGACUUGUACGGUCGGUGAAGUCAGCAUUAGCGGGGUUGGAACUGGUGAAGAAUCCGGAUGAUGAGACCCUGUGGACCCUGGUGGUUGAAGCAGAAACCAUGGUAAACUCCCGCCCCUUAACGUAUGUUCCCUUAGACACAGUUGACCAUGAGGCUCUUACACCUAACCAUUUCUUGAUGCUGAGUUCAAGUGGAGUGUGUCAGCCGCCGAAGGAAUUAGGGGAUGAUAGAAAGCAAACGAGGAGCAACUGGAGGUGGAUUCAGCAUCUUCUGAGUAGGUUUUGGACACGCUGGAUAAAAGAGUACCUGCCAACGAUAACAAGAAGAACGAAAUGGUUCAAGGAGGUUAAACCAGUGGAAGAUGGUGACGUUGUCAUAGUUGUCGACAAAGGUACAAGGAAUGGUUGGAUACGAGGACGAGUGGUGAGAACCCUACCCGGCAAGGAUGGACGAGUCAGACAAGCUGAUGUGGAGACUAGUACGGGAAUACUCCGAAGACCGGUCACAAAGAUAGCUGUUCUUGAAGUUGCAAAGUGUAACGCUUAAGGUGCAUUACGGGUCGGGGAAUGUUCGUUCCGUGCGUUCGGCGUAUUCAGAACGAUCAAUUUCGCAAUACGUCACUCGACUGGAUAUAUCGUUGGACAUCAAAGUCAUUGUUGACAUGAAGUGGAUGAGAGAUGAGGAUUUGGCAAAUGUGAUGAUUCAUCGUAAACACAUUGGUGCAUCUAGCUGUUUGGUAAAAUUUUAGUAGAUUCGCAAAUAUUGAAAUCCGGUUGAAUUAGAAGCAGAAAUUGCUGAAAAUAUAGAAAGGGGAAUCUAAGUGAGGUGCGAUCUCAGCGCGAUUAGUGGGAGUAACACUCGAUCGAUUGUCGUAUGAUUACGUAAGUAAGGGUUAUAUCGAAGUAUGAUAAACGUUGAGCUGGACUGUUUAAUUUAUAUAGGCCCGUAGAAGAAAUCAUCGCGCUGAAAUUCGUGUUCGGAUUGGUAGAACGAAAAUCAAUAAUUUGUAUGUUUAAGGCUAGUGAAAUUAAGACCCUGAACUAAUUAUACUGUUUUACAGUUUGAGCUGUCUGCAAGGAGAUUGCUGCAAAAAUCUGAUUUCGUGUAUUCCG